rnacentral:tRNA from 1 species
GGGGAUUUAGCUCAGUGGUAGAGCGCUUGCCUAGCAAGUGCAAAGCCCUGGGUUCAGUUCCCAGCUCCA